rnacentral:rRNA from 1 species
ACUCCUACGGGAGGCAGCAGUGGGGAAUAUUGCACAAUGGGCGCAAGCCUGAUGCAGCAACGCCGUGUGAGUGAAGAAGGUUUUCGGAUCGUAAAACUCUGUCCUAAGGGAAGAAACAAAUGACGGUACCUUAGGAGGAAGCCCCGGCUAACUACGUGCCAGCAGCCGCGGUAAUACGUAGGGGGCAAGCGUUAUCCGGAAUCACUGGGCGUAAAGGGUGCGUAGGCGGCUUAGCAAGCCAGGGGUGAAAGGCAUUGGCUCAACCAAUGUAAGCCUUUGGAACUGUUAAGCUUGAGUGCAGGAGAGGUAAGUGGAAUUCCUAGUGUAGAGGUGAAAUUCGUAGAUAUUAGGAGGAACACCAGUGGCGAAGGCGACUUACUGGACUGUAACUGACGCUGAUGCACGAAAGCGUGGGUAGCGAACAGGAUUAGAUACCCUGGUAGCAC